CCUGAGCAAGGCUUGCACCUCUUCGUGGUGCUCAGGACGAGUAACUACCAGCCAGUGGUAGUGAAACUAAGCAGGC
rnacentral:ribozyme from 1 species